rnacentral:rRNA from 1 species
GUUUGGUUAAGUUAGAAAGGGCGCACGGUGGAUGCCUUGACACUAGGAGUCGAUGAAGGACGGGACUAACGCCGAUAUGCUUCGGGGAGCUGUAAGUAAGCUUUGAUCCGAAGAUUUCCGAAUGGGGAAACCCACCAUACGUAAUGGUAUGGUAUCCUUAUCUGAAUACAUAGGGUAAGGAAGACAGACCCAGGGAACUGAAACAUCUAAGUACCUGGAGGAAGAGAAAGCAAAUGCGAUUUCCUGAGUAGCGGCGAGCGAAACGGAACAUAGCCCAAACCAAGAGGCUUGCCUCUUGGGGUUGUAGGACAUUCUAUACGGAGUUACAAAGGAAUGAGGUAGACGAAGCGACCUGGAAAGGUCCGUCGUAGAGGGUAACAACCCCGUAGUCGAAACUUCGU